rnacentral:rRNA from 1 species
ACAGGGUGACAGGUGGUGCAUGGUUGUCGUCAGCUCGUGUCGUGAGAUGUUGGGUUAAGUCCCGCAACGGGCGCAACCCUUAUCUUUAAUUGCCAGCAUUCAGUUGGGCACUUUAAAGAGACUGCCGGUGUUAAACCGGAGGAAGGUGGGGAUGACGUCAAGUCCUCAUGGCCUUUAUGUCCAGGGCUACACACACGCUACAAUGGUCUGUACAAUGGGUAGCCAAGCCGCGAGGCGGAGCCAAUCCUGAAAGCAGGCCUCAGUUCAGAUUGCAGUCUGCAACUCGACUGCAUGAAGCCGGAGUUGCUAGUAACCGCAGGUCAGCAAUACUGCGGUGAAUACGUUCCCGGGUCUU